UGGGUGUCGGCGGGGGAGGAAGAAGGCGGGAGAGUGAAUGAAGAUAAAUGGGGACUGGAUUGCCUGAAGGAACAGAUUUGAGGCUCAUCUACCGGGUCUCUCCCUCUUUGAUCCACUGGGACGCUUUUCUGCUUUCUGUGACCCGGAUUGUACUUGCCAGGAGAGUAGGAAGCUCGGUUGGGGUGAGGCUGAGCUUCCAGCGUAGCCUCCCCCAAGCCCAGUAGGACGCGUCCGGAUCCCCGAGGAUCCCGUUUCUGGCUGCAGUGCGCUCAGCAAGCAGCAGUCCGCGGCUCAGCGGACCCGGAAGCCUGAGGCCGAGCGCUCUGGGGCCCUGAAAGGCCGCUGUGGGGACCUCAGCAGUGGCGGCGCUGCAGGAGGAGGAGGAGUGCCGACCGCCCACGAAGAGCCUCGCCUCGCCUCACGGCGCAGGCUAGGGUCGGUGCACAGUGGCCAGUUCCAGCCAGGCAAGCGGGGCUAGCCUAGGCAGAGUGGCCCGGACUCGGGGAGCCCCGCACGUGCGCUCGGGACAAAGGCGUGGCCGGGAAUAAAUGUGAGAGGAGGGCGCUUUGCCCAAGGGGAGGCAAAAACCUCCUGCCCAAGAGCAAGCUAGGAGAUGAUGCCAGGCAGACCAUCUGACUGAGGAAUAAGGCUUGGGGACGGGCAGGAGAAGCGGGGGAGGGAAGGAGAGUGGCACAAGUGUCGGGUUGGGGGGGGGGUCCUCGUCAUAUUAUUUUGCAAUUUUCUGUAUAUCGACACAUUCUCAUAUUAUGGGGUUAUAUAAGCGGGCGUGCGCCGGGUUGUCCUGGACUCUUAGUUUUUAAACACUUAGACUGCGCUCUAAGGGCCCCUCUGUCUCUUUCUCGGAAAGUAGUCUGGGGAAACUAGGAUUCUUCAAUUCAGCUCCACCCUUCCCCAACAAAAGCAAGUUACUCCCUUUGGAAUAAAAGUGGAGUUUGAGGAGAGUCUUGCCAAAGGAAUAUCAGGCGAAGAAUCCGAUUCCUACGUAGUGGAGAGGACACUGGAUUUGGACUCAGGACAACCUGGAUUCAAAUCCUAUUUCACGCACUUACUAGCUGUGUGUGUGACUGUGAGCAAGUCCCUCAACUUUCUCUGUGCUGCAGUUUCUUCAUCUGUAUAAAGAGGGGGUUGGAUUCGAUGGUCUCCAAGGACUCCUCCGGCUCUAAGCGCAGCAGUUAAAUGAGAUGUUUGGACUGGUUGUCAGGUAAAGAAACCACCUCGUUGUGUAAUUUUAAACGCUGCCCUCUCAUGGUCCGCAGCGUUCCUAAUCUCUUGUUCACUCCUUCCCCCAGAAGAAGCCGGGAGUUGGGUAGGGUGAAGCUCCAGAUGGGGGGAGCCCCCUGACUCAGAGAGUCAGGCCAAACAUUUACAAGCGGUUUGUUUCUGGAGAGGCAGAUAAACAAGACUCUGCCUUAUCAGAUCAAAGCGUCUCCCAAGAUUUAACUCUGAUGCUGUUCAUCUCCCAGCCCCCUCCCCAGUCCUAGUGUUCCCAAUCUCCCCACCCCCACUCCUGCGCCUUCUCCAAGACAGCAGCUAAAAAUACUCAGGGUAGUCUCUACUGCAAGCAGCCAUACAUACAAGCAGCCAAGAGAAUGGAGUAUGGCUCCACUGAAGGAGCCAAUCUUUCCACGAAGAAGGUUUUUUCCUUCUCUCUACCCUUUUGCAUUUCUUGAAACGUUCCCAGAUUUAACUGAGAGUCUGAGCUGGAGGAAUGGGGAGUGGAGGGAUGACAGUGAAGCAAAAGAAGACAAAGACCUGGGCCAAAGAAGUCCUGUGGAAAAGUGAUCCUUUGACAGGUAAAUAACGAAGAUUUAUUUGUAUCCUGCCAAGAAAAGAAAAUAUUGCACUCUCUGUGAAACCAGGCAAAGGGAGAGACUUAAAUUAGAAGUCAUUCUCGGAAGCACUUGCAGAUGUGCAGAUUAAGAGAAA